rnacentral:rRNA from 1 species
GUCGGGAAUAUUGCGCAAUGGAGGAAACUCUGACGCAGUGACGCCGCGUGCAGGAAGAAGGUUUUCGGAUUGUAAACUGCUUUAGACAGGGAAGAAACAAGACAGUACCUGUAGAAUAAGCUCCGGCUAACUACGUGCCAGCAGCCGCGGUAAUACGUAGGGAGCAAGCGUUAUCCGGAUUUAUUGGGUGUAAAGGGUGCGUAGACGGGAAGGCAAGUUGGUUGUGAAAUCCCUCGGCUUAACUGAGGAACUGCAACCAAAACUAUCUUUCUUGAGUGCUGGAGAGGAAAGUGGAAUUCCUAGUGUAGCGGUGAAAUGCGUAGAUAUUAGGAGGAACACCAGUGGCGAAGGCGACUUUCUGGACAGUAACUGACGUUGAGGCACGAAAGUGUGGGGAGCAAACAGGA